UCCCGCUUGCUGGUGGUAUACUCAAAUCACCAAACUCCCUUAACUUCCACGGGGCACCCACACCCCCUUACGCCCUUCUCACUUAUUUCCACCCUCUCCUCCGCCGCACCACAAGCCCCUCUUGGCCUCCCCUCCCAACGGGCAGUUUUGCGCGGUUUCCCUGCAGCCUCAGCGCCCCCUCCUCCUCCGCCGCCGCCGCCUAUUCCCCCCCCCGGCCCAGCUUCCUUACCGUUCUGACAGAGUCCCACACCGCCCGGGGCUCCUAGGCUUGGGGGCACCGCACUGGGCCCACCCGCGAAGGAGGAACCAGCAGGGGCGAGGGGCGGCGGGGGAAACCCUGUGGGGGGCACCGACAUGGCGCCGUCCUCGGGGUGACGCUGCUGCCACUUCUUGCUCUUCUUUGGCUACCUCUGAAGGCAGUGCGGGCGGGCGAGAAAAAGCAGGGCCGCCAACGGAACCGACUCUAGCAGGACCGCGCCGAGGACUCGCAACGUCGUUCUUCGGAAAUCACCGCGUCUUCCGCCCACAGCGCCCCCUAGCGGCGGCGGCCAACACUUCCUUGCAAACAGAAAGCCGGCGGGCACGGUUCACCCCAUCCCCCAUAAACCCUUUGCAGUCUGUUCAGCUCUCGUAACAUCACAAGCUUGCACUCACUACUUGUGUUCCGUGAACCGGGGGCAGCUCAAUUCUAUAUAGGUUUGCCAAGAAGUUCCCAUUGUUGGGGAAGUUAGGUCUAACCACACAUACAACCGGAUGAGGUGCUAAAAGGGCUGAGUCACUUCAGGCUGCAGAGCUGGUUGUGGCCAACAGGCACUGGUGUGGGAGAAAUCAACACAACCCAUUGAACAGAAGCACGCUGUGGAAAUCUUGACUGAGUGGCCAGGCCAGUGGACUUCAGCAAGGUCACAGGAACUGUUUUCUGAAAGCUCGAAGCUGUUUUGUCUUACGCAAAAUAAAAUUUGAGAUAAAUUUUA